ensembl:lncRNA
UUUUGCUUAAAUGGGGGAUUCUCGAAGAGAAAACGCGUGAUUUUCGCUUAAAUGGGGGAUUUGCGAAAUGAAAACGCGUGAUUUUCGCUUAAAUGGGGGAUUUCCGAAGAGAAAACGCGUGAUUUUCGCUUAAAUGGGGGAUUUGCGAAAACGCGUGAUUUUCGGGUUAAAUGGGGGAUUUCGAAGAGAAAACGCGUGAUUUUUGCUUAAAUGGGGGAUUUGCGAAGAGAAAACGUGUGAUUUUCACUUAAAUGGGGGAUUUGUGAAGAGAAAACGCGUGAUUUUCACUUAAAUGGGAAAUUUGCAUAGAGGAAACAUGUUAUUUUCACUUAAAUGGGGGAUUUGCGAAGAGAAAACGCGUGAUUUUCGCUUAAAUGGGGGAUUUGCGAAGAGAAAACGCGUGAUUUUCACUUAAAUGGGGGAUUUGCGAAGAUAAAACGCGUGAUUUUUGCUUAAAUGGGGAUUCUCGAAGAUUAAAACGCGUGAUUUUUGCUUAAAUGGGGGAUUCUCGAAGAGAAAACGCGUGAUUUUCGCUUAAAUGGGGGAUUUGCGAAGAGAAAACGCGUGAUUUUCGGGUUAAAUGGGGGAUUUGCGAAGAGAAAACGCGUGAUUUUGGCUUAAAUGGGGGAUUUGCGAAGAGAAAACGUGUGAUUUUGCUUAAAUGGGGGAUUUGCGAAGAGAAAACGCGUGAUUUUGGCUUAAAUGGGGGAUUCUCGAAGAGAAAACGCGUGAUUUUCGCUUAAAUGGGGGAUUUUCAAAGAGAAAACGCGUGAUUUUCGCUUAAAUGGGGGAUUCUCGAAGAGAAAACGCGUGAUUUUCGCUUAAAUAGGGGAUUCUCGAAGAGAAAACGCGUGAUUUUUGCUUAAAUGGGGGAUUCUCGAUGAGAAAACGCGUGAUUUUCGCUUAAAUGGGGGAUUCUCGAGAGAAAACGCGUGAUUUUCGCUUAAAUGGGGGAUUUGCGAAGAGAAAACGCGUGAUUUUCGCUUAAAUGGGGGAUUUGUGAAGAGAAAACGCGUGAUUUUUGCUUAAAUAGGGGAUUCUCGAAGAGAAAACGCGUGAUUUUCACUUAAAUGGGGGAUUUCUGAAGAGAAAAUGCAUGAUAUUCACUUAAAUGGGAAAUUUGCGAAGAGGAAACAUGUUAUUUUCACUUAAAUGGGGGAUUCUGAAGAGAAAACGCGUGAUUUUGCUUAAAUGGGGGAUUCUCGAAGAGAAAACGCGUGAUUUUCGCUUAAAUGGGGGAUUUGCGAAGAGAAAACGCGUGAUUUUCGGUUAAAU